CACAUAUUCACAUAUUCUGACUUUACACAAGAGGCUAAUGGUUAUAUCUGAGCAUUGAGUUAAUUUAAAUUUAUCAUUUAUUUGAAUAUUUUUCAAUGAUAUUUUAGUCUGUAAAGAAUUCUGUUCCAUGGAACUUGCUGAGCUCAGUGAUAACAUAUAUUACCUGAGUAACUGUUUGGGAUCAGUAGGUCAUGUAAUGUCCAAUGAGCCCAAGGAGUACAGAGAGGUUUUUCAAAGAUACAAGCCGAGUUCAAAGGAAUACAGAAGUUAGGAUAAACAAUAAAUAAGCCAUUUAGCUCUUAGGCUAACGAGUUCGCUAACGAGUUCCAAAAUAGGGCAAUAAUGAGUGGGAC